GGUGAGUAAUGUCUGGGAAACUGCCUGAUGGAGGGGGAUAACUACUGGAAACGGUAGCUAAUACCGCAUAAUGUCGCAAGACCAAAGAGGGGGACCUUCGGGCCUCUUGCCAUCGGAUGUGCCCAGAUGGGAUUAGCUUGUUGGUGGGGUAACGGCUCACCAAGGCGACGAUCCCUAGCUGGUCUGAGAGGAUGACCAGCCACACUGGAACUGAGACACGGUCCAGACUCCUACGGGAGGCAGCAGUGGGGAAUAUUGCACAAUGGGCGCAAGCCUGAUGCAGCCAUGCCGCGUGUAUGAAGAAGGCCUUCGGGUUGUAAAGUACUUUCAGCGGGGAGGAAGGGAGUAAAGUUAA
rnacentral:rRNA from 2 species